rnacentral:rRNA from 1 species
CGGACGGGUGAGUAAUGUAUGGGGAUCUGCCUGGUGGCGGGGGAUAACUACUGGAAACGGUAGCUAAUACCGCAUAAUGUCUGCGGACCAAAGCGGGGGACCUCCGGGCCUCGCGCCAUCAGAUGAACCCAUAUGGGAUUAGCUUGUAGGUAAGGUAACGGCUUACCUAGGCGACGAUCCCUAGCUGGUCUGAGAGGAUGAUCAGCCACACUGGGACUGAGACACGGCCCAG